GGGGAUAUGGCGGAACUGGUAGACGCGCUAGCUUCAGGAGCUAGUGAUAGCAAUAUCGUGAGAGUUCGACUCUCUCUAUCCCCA
rnacentral:tRNA from 1 species